rnacentral:sRNA from 1 species
AACUCGACCGGGUCGACGGCACGCGUCACCACCAGGUAAUCGCGCAGCGCCAUGCCGUGCCGGUUCUC